GACGAACGCCGUCGGCGUGCUUAACACAUGCAAGUCGAACGGAAAGGCCCUUCGGGGUACUCGAGUGGCGAACGGGUGAGUAACACGUGGGUGAUCUGCCCUGCACUUUGGGAUAAGCCUGGGAAACUGGGUCUAAUACCGAAUAGGACCACGCGCUUCAUGGUGUGUGGUGGAAAGCUUUUGCGGUGUGGGAUGGGCCCGCGGCCUAUCAGCUUGUUGGUGGGGUAAUGGCCUACCAAGGCGACGACGGGUAGCCGGCCUGAGAGGGUGACCGGCCACACUGGGACUGAGAUACGGCCCAGACUCCUACGGGAGGCAGCAGUGGGGAAUAUUGCACAAUGGGCGCAAGCCUGAUGCAGCGACGCCGCGUGAGGGAUGACGGCCUUCGGGUUGUAAACCUCUUUCAAUAGGGACGAAGCGCAAGUGACGGUACCUAUAGAAGAAGCACCGGCCAACUACGUGCCAGCAGCCGCGGUAAUACGUAGGGUGCGAGCGUUGUCCGGAAUUACUGGGCGUAAAGAGCUCGUAGGUGGUUUGUCGCGUUGUUCGUGAAAACUCACAGCUUAACUGUGGGCGUGCGGGCGAUACGGGCAGACUAGAGUACUGCAGGGGAGACUGGAAUUCCUGGUGUAGCGGUGGAAUGCGCAGAUAUCAGGAGGAACACCGGUGGCGAAGGCGGGUCUCUGGGCAGUAACUGACGCUGAGGAGCGAAAGCGUGGGGAGCGAACAGGAUUAGAUACCCUGGUAGUCCACGCCGUAAACGGUGGGUACUAGGUGUGGGUUCCUUCCUUGGGAUCCGUGCCGUAGCUAACGCAUUAAGUACCCCGCCUGGGGAGUACGGCCGCAAGGCUAAAACUCAAAGGAAUUGACGGGGGCCCGCACAAGCGGCGGAGCAUGUGGAUUAAUUCGAUGCAACGCGAAGAACCUUACCUGGGUUUGACAUGCACAGGACGCCGGCAGAGAUGUCGGUUCCCUUGUGGCCUGUGUGCAGGUGGUGCAUGGCUGUCGUCAGCUCGUGUCGUGAGAUGUUGGGUUAAGUCCCGCAACGAGCGCAACCCUUGUCCUAUGUUGCCAGCGGGUUAUGCCGGGGACUCGUAGGAGACUGCCGGGGUCAACUCGGAGGAAGGUGGGGAUGACGUCAAGUCAUCAUGCCCCUUAUGUCCAGGGCUUCACACAUGCUACAAUGGCCGGUACAAAGGGCUGCGAUGCCGUGAGGUGGAGCGAAUCCUUUCAAAGCCGGUCUCAGUUCGGAUCGGGGUCUGCAACUCGACCCCGUGAAGUCGGAGUCGCUAGUAAUCGCAGAUCAGCAACGCUGCGGUGAAUACGUUCCCGGGCCU
rnacentral:rRNA from 1 species